AGGCUUGCUGUGCAAGUCCAGAGCUUCAGAACAGCUAUUGGCCUGCAGCCCCUGAGGUUCAGCAGGGACUCAGUAUGAUUUCUAAGUGUUUCCCAUAUUCUGGUCUUCCUGUUGCUCUUGGGAGCCUCUAACCAGAAGAAGAGUGGAAGGGGGAGUGAUCCAAAGAUGACUUCUAUCCCUAGUCACUCACCCCCACUGACUCAUUCAUCUCCUGCUGGGAUUCUAAAGCCAGGAUAAGUGGACUAGGAUACAGGGAGCUAAGGAAGGAAAGAUUCCAGGAACUGAAGGCUACCAGAGAAGACCAGAAACUCAACCUGCUAUGCCAUAACCUUGUAUCUCACUGGACCCUAAGGCAAUUGAGGUGGAUCGAGGUGGCUCUUCACCUUCAUUUCCCUUAUUUUUAUUUAUUUCCCCUUUAUUUGCCAUCACUGCCACCCAUCUUCUCAAAACACACAGACACACACACACACACACAUUCAUUGAAGACCAAGGCCCUGACUCAUAUCCUUUUUCUCCAUCUCUAAAUCUGCCAUUACUGCCCUUAGAUCUAAUCCAUCAGGGUUCCCACCUGGGCUCCAUUUUUUAGAGGACCCAGCUCUGUAAAAGACAAGGAAUCUAAGGGGCCAAGGGAAGAAUCCCACAGAGAGCCCAUGCCCCUCUUUCAAGACUAUGUUCUGGGUAUCUAGAACCUUAAAAGUUCCUGCCCACGUGGUCCUGAGCCCACUGCCAGGGCC
rnacentral:lncRNA from 1 species